GAUGAACGCUGGCGGCGUGCUUAACACAUGCAAGUCGAACGGAAAGGCUCCUGCUUGCAGGGGUACUCGAGUGGCGAACGGGUGAGUAACACGUGGGUGAUCUGCCCUGCACUUCGGGAUAAGCCUGGGAAACUGGGUCUAAUACCGGAUAGGACGAUGGUUUGGAUGCCAUUGUGGAAAGUUUUUCGGUGUGGGAUGAGCUCGCGGCCUAUCAGCUUGUUGGUGGGGUAAUGGCCUACCAAGGCGUCGACGGGUAGCCGGCCUGAGAGGGUGUACGGCCACAUUGGGAACGAGAUAAGGCCCAGGCUCCUACGGGAGGGAGCAGUGGGGAAUAUUGCACAAUGGGCGCAAGCCUGAUGCAGCGACGCCGGGUGGGGGAUGACGGCCUUCGGGUUGUAAACUCCUUUCGCUAGGGACGAAGCGCAAGUGACGGUACCUGGAGAAGAAGCACCGGCUAACUACGU
rnacentral:rRNA from 1 species